CGAGCUGGGUUUAGAACGUCGUGAGACAGUUCGGUCCCUAUCUGCCGUGGGCGCUGGAGAAUUGAGGGGGGCUGCUCCUAGUACGAGAGGACCGGAGUGGACGCAUCACUGGUGUUCGGGUUGUCAUGCCAAUGGCACUGCCCGGUAGCUAAAUGCGGAAGAGAUAAGUGCUGAAAGCAUCUAAGCACGAAACUUGCCCCGAGAUGAGUUCUCCCUGAGACUAUAAGUCUCCUGAAGGAACGUUAAAGACGAUGACGUUGAUAGGCCGGGUGUGUAAGCGCAGCGAUGCGUUGAGCUAACCGGUACUAAUGAACCGUGAGGCUUAACCUUACAACGCCGAAG
rnacentral:rRNA from 1 species